CAAUUACACAAAUUGGCUGGCACAACAUGAUAUACUGCAGACAAGUUGUACGCUAGCUCAUUCUAAUUCAGAGAUGACCCCUAAUUCCUGGUGCGGGAGUCUUCCAGGCAUUGCAUUUGUUCUCUUGGUACUUGUAGAGGCGAAAGGGUUGGGAGAAAUGCUUAAAAUUUCUCCUUCUUCCAACAUGUGAACGACGACUUUCAUGGAAGGACGCUGGAUUGGAUGCCACUGAAUGCACCAGAGCCCAACAAUUGCAAGUUUCUUUGCAAUGUUUGCAUCUUCCUCUUCUUCAAUAUAGAUUCUCAGGUCUUCUCCUCGCUCUAAGAGAUUAUAGAUCCAUUCUGGAAAAUAGAUCUGGCAUGCAUUCUCUGCUGUAACUUC
rnacentral:misc_RNA from 1 species